rnacentral:rRNA from 1 species
UACGUAGGGUGCGAGCGUUGUCCGGAAUUAUUGGGCGUAAAGAGCUCGUAGGCGGUGUGUCACGUCGGCCGUGAAAACCUGCAGCUUAACUGUGGGCGUGCGGUCGAUACGGGCAUCACUGGAGUUCGGCAGGGGAGACUGGAAUUCCUGGUGUAGCGGUGGAAUGCGCAGAUAUCAGGAGGAACACCGGUGGCGAAGGCGGGUCUCUGGGCAGUAACUGACGCUGAGGAGCGAAAGCGUGGGGGAGCGAACAGG